rnacentral:rRNA from 1 species
UACAGAGGAGCCAAGCGUUGUCCGGAUUGACUGGGCGUAAAGCGCACGCAGGCGGAUGCGCGCGUGGGGUGUGAAAUCUGGCCGCUUAACGGCCAGGCGCCAUCCCAUACGGCGCGUCUGGAGUGAUGCAGAGGUCGAUGGAAUUGCCGGUGUAGUGGUGAAAUGCGUAGAGAUCGGCAGGAACACCCAGGGGGAAACCAGUCGACUGGGCAUCGACUGACGCUGAGGUGCGAGAGCGUGGGGAGCGAACCGG